GACGGAGGGUGCUAGCGUUGUUCGGAAUGACUGGGCGUAAAGGGCGCGUAGGCGGCCGCUUGCGUCGGAUGUGAAAGCCCGGGGCUCAAUCCCGGAACGGCAUCCGAUACGGGGCGGCUCGAGACCGAGAGAGGUGAGUGGAAUACCCAGUGUAGAGGUGAAAUUCGUAGAUAUUGGGUGGAACACCGGUGGCGAAAGCGGCUCACUGGCUCGGUUCUGACGCUGAGGCGCGAAAGCGUGGGGAGCAAACAGG
rnacentral:rRNA from 1 species